GACAAUUGCUUUGUUAACUUUAAAGGUUAAAUAGAGAAAAGAAGUGAAUGCUUUCCCCCCCACCCCAGUAAGAGAGAGGCACAGAAGACUAAACUGGAGUCAGUAUUUCUGCAGGAAAGCAGUUCUGCUGGCCCAAGGGCCUCUCUGGUGUGAGCUCCAUGAGCCAAGCUGGACCCUGGGGCACAGCCAGUGCAGAGAGGAGCAAACACCAGCUACUCCUCCAGCCCUCUCGGGCUCUGUGCACAGGCACAGAUGUUUCAGGACCCAGCACAGCACAUGCUGGGAUAUCUGUGGCUGAUCUCCUUGCAAAGCUCUGCUCAAUUAGCCACAAAAAGCCCUGACUCCUGGGUGAGUGAGCAGCUGAUGAAAGGUGCAGGUCUGGCAG